AUUCACCGCGCCAUGGCUGAUGCGCGAUUACUAGCGAAUCCAGCUUCACGAAGUCGGGUUGCAGACUUCGAUCCGAACUGAGAGAGGCUUUUGGGAUUAGCAUCCUGUCACCAGGUAGCUGCCUUCUGUACCCCCCAUUGUAACACGUGUGUAGCCCCGGACGUAAGGGCCGUGCUGAUUUGACGUCAUCCCCACCUUCCUCACAUCUUACGACGGCAGUCUCUCUAGAGUCCUCAGCAUGACCUGUUAGUAACUAAAGAUAAGGGUUGCGCUCGUUAUGGCACUUAAGCCGACACCUCACGGCACGAGCUGACGACAACCAUGCAGCACCUUCACAUUUGCCUUACGGCUAUACUGUUUCCAAUAUAUUCAAAUGCAAUUUAAGCCCGGGUAAGGUUCCUCGCGUAUCAUCGAAUUAAACCACAUGUUCCUCCGCUUGUGCGGGCCCCCGUCAAUUCCUUUGAGUUUCACCGUUGCCGGCGUACUCCCCAGGUGGAAUACUUAAUGCUUUCGCUUGGCCGCUUACUGUAUAUCGCAAACAGCGAGUAUUCAUCGUUUACUGUGUGGACUACCAGGGUAUCUAAUCCUGUUUGAUACCCACACUUUCGAGCAUCAGUGUCAGUUGCAGUCCAGUGAGCUGCCUUCGCAAUCGGAGUUCUUCGUGAUAUCUAAGCAUUUCACCGCUACACCACGAAUUCCGCCCACCUCUACUGUACUCAAGACAGCCAGUAUCAACUGCAAUUUUACGGUUGAGCCGCAAACUUUCACAACUGACUUAACUGUCCACCUACGCUCCCUUUAAACCCAAUAAAUCCGGAUAACGCUCGGAUCCUCCGUAUUACCGCGGCUGCUGGCACGGAGUUAGCCGAUCCUUAUUCAUAUGGUACAUACAAAAUUCCACACGUGGAAAACUUUAUUCCCAUAUAAAAGAAGUUUACAACCCAUAGGGCAGUCAUCCUUCACGCUACUUGGCUGGUUCAGGCCUGCGCCCAUUGACCAAUAUUCCUCACUGCUGCCUCCCGUAGGAGUUUGGACCGUGUCUCAGUUCCAAUGUGGGGGACCUUCCUCUCAGAACCCCUAUCCAUCGAAGGUUUGGUGAGCCGUUACCUCACCAACUGCCUAAUGGAACGCAUCCCCAUCGAUAACCGAAAUUCUUUAAUAAUAAGACCAUGCGGUUUCAUUAUACUAUCGGGUAUUAAUCUUUCUUUCGAAAGGCUAUCCCCG
rnacentral:rRNA from 1 species